rnacentral:rRNA from 1 species
GAUUGAACGCUGGCGGUAUGCUUAACACAUGCAAGUCGAACGGAAACGAUACUAGCUUGCUAGUAGGCGUCGAGUGGCGGACGGGUGAGUAACGCGUAGGAAUCUGCCUGAUAGUGGGGGAUAGCCCGAAGAAAUUCGGAUUAAUACCGCAUAAUCUAUUCGUAGUAAAGUGGGGGACUUUCGAGCCUCACGCUAUCAGAUGAGCCUGCGUAAGAUUAGCUUGUUGGUAGGGUAAAAGCCUACCAAGGCGACGAUCUUUAGCUGGUCUGAGAGGAUGAUCAGCCACAUCGGGACUGAGACACGGCCCGAACUCCUACGGGAGGCAGCAGUGGGGAAUAUUGGACAAUGGGGGCAACCCUGAUCCAGCAAUACCGCGUGUGUGAAGAAGGCCUGAGGGUUGUAAAGCACUUUCAAUUGUGAAGAAAAGUUAGCGGUUAAUAACCGUUAGCCUUGACGUUAACUUUAGAAGAAGCACCGGCUAACUCCGUGCCAGCAGCCGCGGUAAUACGGAGGGUGCAAGCGUUAAUCGGAAUUACUGGGCGUAAAGCGUGCGUAGGCGGUUUAUUAAGUCAGAUGUGAAAGCCCCGGGCUUAACCUGGGAACUGCAUUUGAAACUGGUCAACUAGAGUAUGGUAGAGGAAAGUGGAAUUUCUGGUGUAGCGGUGAAAUGCGUAGAUAUCAGAAGGAACAUCAAUGGCGAAGGCAGCUUUCUGGACCAAUACUGACGCUGAGGUACGAAAGCGUGGGUAGCAAACAGGAUUAGAUACCCUGGUAGUCCACGCCGUAAACGAUGAUAACUAGCCGUUGGGGGGAUUUACCCUUUAGUGGCGAAGCUAACGCGUUAAGUUAUCCGUCUGGGGAGUACGGCCGCAAGGUUAAAACUCAAAGGAAUUGACGGGGACCCGCACAAGCGGUGGAGCAUGUGGUUUAAUUCGAUGCAACGCGAAGAACCUUACCUGGUCUUGACAUCCUGCGAACUUUCUAGAAAUAGAUUGGUGCCUUCGGGAACGCAGUGACAGGUGCUGCAUGGCUGUCGUCAGCUCGUGUCGUGAGAUGUUGGGUUAAGUCCCGUAACGAGCGCAACCCCUAUCCUUAUUUGCCAGCACAUCAUGGUGGGAACUAUAAGGAGACUGCCGGUGAUAAACCGGAGGAAGGCGGGGACGACGUCAAGUCAUCAUGGCCCUUACGACCAGGGCUACACACGUGCUACAAUGGGAAGGACAAAGAGCCGCGAAGCCGCGAGGUGUAGCUAAUCUCAUAAACCUUUUCGUAGUCCGGAUUGGAGUCUGCAACUCGACUCCAUGAAGUCGGAAUCGCUAGUAAUCGUAGAUCAGAAUGCUACGGUGAAUACGUUCCCGGGUCUUGUACACACCGCCCGUCA